CAUAUAAUUAAGGGGAGGAAAAGAAACCAACUCGGAUUCCCCUAGUAACGGCGAGUGAAGCGGGAAGAGCUCAUGUUGUAAAUCUCCAGCUUGCUGGCGAAUUGUAGUCUAAAGGUGCGUGCUCAGUCGUGGUCCCGGGCUAAGUCUGUUGGAAAACAGCAUCAUGGACGGUGACAAUCCGGUUCUUGCCUGGGGUCCCGCGGCGUACGAGCCGUUUCCGACGAGUCGUGUUGCUUGGGAUUGCAGCACUAAGUGGGUGGUAAAUUCCAUCUAAAGCUAAAUAUUGGUGGGAGACCGAUAGCGAACAAGUACCGUGAGGGAAAGAUGAAAAGACUUUUGAAAAGAGAGUAAAAUAGUACCUGAAACUGCUGAAAGGGAAGCGAUUGAAGUCAGUGUUGCUCCUGGUCUUUUUGCCGUCGCCCCCGUGGGGGUUGCGGCGUGGGGCCUGGAGCGUUUCAACAUGCGUUCUGUUCCGCGGGAAAUGUUCAGUGUGCUGGAACCUUCGGGGAAACGCACUGUUCUUGUCGUGGUUAGGACGGAGGACCUUUGCUCCUUUGACUGCGCGUUCCUCUCUCGGGUAUGCUGGUGUCUACUGCUUGCAGUUUUCAUUUUCAUGCUUGCGACUGUGCGUGUUAUUCAUGAGCGAACAUGAUGUUGAAGAAAUGGCUUUAAUUACCCCGUCUU
rnacentral:rRNA from 1 species